AAUGGUCAUUGUGAUGAUUACAUAGUUCAACUGAAGUACCCUUACUAAGUACUAUGUCGAGUUAAUUUUCUUUCGCUCCUAUCUGACACCUUC
rnacentral:snoRNA from 1 species